GCCCAUCCCUGAUAGCUCAAUUGGUAGAACAUGAGACUCUUUAUCUCAAGCUCGUGGGUUCAAGCCCUGUGUUGGGCA